rnacentral:rRNA from 1 species
GACGAACGCUGGCGGCGUGGAUUAGGCAUGCAAGUCGAACGGUAUCAUCCUUUCGGGGGUGAGAGAGUGGCGAACUGGUGAGUAACACGUAGGUUAUCUACCCUCAAGACGGGGGACAACCCAGGGAAACUUGGGCUAAUACCGGAUGUGAGCAACUUUUAGUUGUUUGAAAGGUGGCGUAAGCUGUCGCUUGGGGAUGAGCCUGCGUCCUAUUAGUUAGUUGGUGAGGUAACGGCUCACCUAGGCAAUGAUAGGUAGGCGGCCUUAACGGGUGGUCGCCCACACUGGGAUUGAGAUACGGCCCAGACUCCUACGGGAGGCAGCAGUCGAGAAUAGUCUACAAUGGUCGGAAGACUGAUAGUGCGACGCCGCGUGAACGAUGAAUCCCUUCGGGGUGUAAAGUUCUUUUAUAUGUGAGCAGUGCUUCUUAUAUUAACAGUAUGGGGAAGAGAUAUUAGCAUAUGAAUAAGCAACGGCUAACUCCGUGCCAGCAGCCGCGGUAAG